UAAUGUAGGUUUGCAAUUUUCUGAAAAUCAAACUACGGUUCUCGAAAAAGGGUCAUCUGGCCUAGCGGACCAAUAUCGUCUGCGACUUCAAUAUAUCGCCUGCAUUGGCGUUCAGAGAUUUAAGAAGAAAAGUCAGACAUUUUUCGUCAGAGUAAAUUCUGGGUUUUGUAUUAAUAUAUUUCUAUGUAUUGUAAGAAAAACCCACCCUCCCACCUCUUGAUUUGAAACGUGUAUUUUGGCGAUAUACUGCUGCUGUUUUGAUUUAUUUUUCAGGUUUUAUGGACAUAUAUUAUUUCCGUGCACCAAAUGUUGUAGGAUCAUUCGUCCUGGCUCACCAAGUGUAGAAAUUCCAAGAUGACUCAAGAAGAGAUUUUAUUCACUAUAUUCCGUUCAAAUUUUGAUCGUGAUUCUAUAAUUGAACUUUGUACACCUUAACUAAUGGACAAAUGUUGAAAUAUUUUGACACAGAAGCGUUGGAUUAAUGAACUUUUCAUUCAACUAAUUUUCAACUAAUUUCUUGAAGGACUAUCUGAAGAAAAUUGGCGGGAAAGCGACACAACGCCAACAAUCUUGCACCAUGUUCACAUAAUGGACUCUAAUAUCCGUUACUGAGCUUCUGUUCCCAGGGCC
rnacentral:lncRNA from 1 species